GGGAGGGGGUGACUAGUGACAGAGUGAGGAAGCGGGUGACACAGUGACAGAGUUAGGGAGGGGGUGACUAGUGACAGAGAGAGGGAUGGGGUGACUAGUGACAGUCACCCCCUCCCUCCCUCGGUCACUAGUCACUCCCUCACUCGUCAUCCCCUCACUGUCACCAGUCAUUCCCUCACUCUGUCACUAGUCACCCCUUCCCUCCCUCACUUUGCCACUAGUCAUCUUUUCCCUCCC